UACGGGGGGGGCAAGCGUUGUUCGGAAUUACUGGGCGUAAAGGGCUCGUAGGCGGCCAAUUAAGUCAGACGUGAAAUCCCUCGGCUUAACCGGGGAACUGCGUCUGAUACUGGAUGGCUAGAGGUUGGGAGAGGGAUGCGGAAUUCCAGGUGUAGCGGUGAAAUGCGUAGAUAUCUGGAGGAACACCGGUGGCGAAGGCGGCAUCCUGGACCAACACUGACACUGAGGAGCGAAAGCCAGGGGAGCAAACGGG
rnacentral:rRNA from 1 species